CCUACGGGAGGCAGCAGUGAGGAAUAUUGGUCAAUGGACGAGAGUCUGAACCAGCCAAGUAGCGUGAAGGAUGACUGCCCUAUGGGUUGUAAACUUCUUUUAUAAAGGAAUAAAACGAGGCACGUGUGCCUUUUUGCAUGUACUUUAUGAAUAAGGAUAGGCUAACUCCGUGCCAGCAGCCGCGGUAAUACGGAGGAUCCGAGCGUUAUCCGGAGUUAUUGGGUUUAAAGGGAGCGUAGAUGGGUUGUUAAGUCAGUUGUGAAAGUUUGCGGCUCAACCGUAAAAUUGCAAUUGAUACUGGCAGUCUUGAGUACAGUUGGGGUAGGCGGAAUUCGUGGUGUAGCGGUGAAAGGCUUAGAUAUCACGAAGAACCCCGAUUGCGAAGGCAGCUUACUAAACUGUGACUGACAUUGAUGCUCGAAAGUGUGGGUAUCAAACAGGAUUAGAUACCCUGGUAGUC
rnacentral:rRNA from 1 species